rnacentral:piRNA from 2 species
GGGUGAACCGGCCCAGGUCGGAAACGGAGC